CAGAACUUGUUCUUUAGGAGCUCCUGUUCUACUGAGGGAGAAGGACAUAUAAAUUAAUAGCUAUCAUCCCGUAGAAUAAUGUGGGCAGAUAGAAGAGGUUCUGAACUCAAUGGUGGGAGAUGAAAAGGAUACAGGAUGGGGAAAGCAGAAACAGGACAGCUUCACACAGUAAUCGCAAACUGCUCUGAAUCUUGAAGGAAGAGUAAAAAAUUAGCCAGCAGAUCAGCCAGAUGAAGGCGGGAAGACGAAGCCACUUGGCCGGGGUCAUGGAGGAGGUGUGACAGUGAAGGGUCUUCUGCUUCCACAUCCACAAGGCUUUGUCUUCUUUGCUUUGCUGACUCUUCCUCAAAUUUAGAGCUCCCCAAUGGAAGUCAGCCAGCCUUGACUUGGAUAUGUCAAACCCAUCUACUUUGGACCAUGAAAACUAGUGAAUUCACGCAAAAGAUCAGAGGUUAAGAACCUGCUGAAAGCUUUGCCAAGGCGAUGACCUCUCAGGCAAACCUCAGAAUGGAUUUGGUUUGGUCAGAUUCAGCCUUCCCUCUCCCAGGCCAUGUAAUCUUCAUCAUAUACCCGCAUUUUAUGGACAAGUCUGCCUGUGUACCUUCCCUUUGAACUAAAAAUCUGGACUGGAGGCCACAGACAGUGAACCACCAGUGAGAACAGAAAAAUCUGGAAGAAUCUGGAAGGGUCUUGAAUCUGAAAGACAAAGAAAUAUGGUAAAGGUAAAUUAUUUCAUUCAACUCCCAGAUCAUGGGGUGCUGGCUCCCAGCAAGGGGCUGAAAAAUGGCGGGUAGCAUCAUUGUCAACAUUAUGUCAUGCACCAUCUAUAAUCUGUGUGUACUUUCUCCAAUUCUCUUUUCUCUCCUUCUUCCCUAUGUCACUUUGUUACAGAUGGGGUUAAUGCUUUGCUAGGUAGGGGAAGGACUCACUCUUUAUCAAAUGCCUCCCUCUCUCACCAAACUUUAUUAAAAAAUGAAGACCUCUGCAUAUCUUUAUUCCCAAAUUUAAAACUACAAUCUGUGGGUCUUAGUAGUUUCACAUAAUACCUAGAAUUUUUCUUUUAUUCCUAACCCUACAGACUUAGCAUACAUAUAAAACAUAGAAUUUUAUUGCUAAAGGAGACCUUUGGAAUCAUUAAGCCCCAUCUGGUCAUUUUACAAAUAAGGAAUUAGGCCCAGAAAGGUUAAGUGACUUGCCCAAGAUACACAGCUGCUGUGAGUUGGGCCAGAAUUUCUGACUAAGGUCUUGGCUUUCAAUUAAUACUAGAUAAAGUGAUAAUUGAGAGGUUAUAUUUGUUGGGGAUUUGACCUAGCAUAUGUGUGUGUGCAUGUGUUUGCAUGUGUGUAUGCGUGCAUAUGCGUGUGUGUGUGUGUUUAUGUGUAUCAGGUAACA